AAGGCCCUCUGGGUUGUAAACUCCUUUUAUCUGGGAAGAAAUGCAUUUUUUCUAAAGUGCUUGACGGUACCAGAGGAAUAAGCACCGGCUAACUCCGUGCCAGCAGCCGCGGUAAUACGGAGGGUGCAAGCGUUAUCCGGAUUCACUGGGUUUAAAGGGUGCGUAGGCGGGCAGGUAAGUCCGUGGUGAAAUCUCUGAGCUUAACUCAGAAACUGCCAUGGAUACUAUUUGUCUUGAAUGUUGUGGAGGUAAGCGGAAUAUGUCAUGUAGCGGUGAAAUGCUUAGAUAUGACAUAGAACACCAAUUGCGAAGGCAGCUUACUACACAAAUAUUGACGCUGAGGCACGAAAGCGUGGGGAUCAAACAGGAUUAGAUACCCUGGUAGUCCACGCCCUAAACGAUGAUUACUCGACAUCAGCGAUACACUGUUGGUGUCUGAGCGAAAGCAUUAAGUAAUCCACCUGGGAAGUACGAUCGCAAGAUUGAAACUC
rnacentral:rRNA from 1 species